GCCAGCAGCAUACCAUCCUGCAUCCCACUGCUGGCUUGCCUCUGAAGCUAAGCAGGAUUGGUCCCUGGAUGGUAGACCAGAUGCUGCUGGAA
ensembl:rRNA 5S_rRNA 5S ribosomal RNA